CCUACGGGGGGCAGCAGUGGGGGAUAUUGCACAAUGGGGGAAACCCUGAUGCAGCGACGCCGCGUGAGUGAAGAAGUAUUUCGGUAUGUAAAGCUCUAUCGGCAGGGAAGAAAAAGCGCGCGAGCGCCCUUGACAGUACCUGACUAAGAAGCCCCGGCUAACUACGUGCCAGCAGCCGCGGUAAUACGUAGGGGGCAAGCGUUAUCCGGAAUUACUGGGUGUAAAGGGAGCGUAGACGGGUAAGUAAGUCUGGAGUGAAAGGCCGGGGCCCAACCCCGGGACUGCUCUGGAAACUAUUGAACUUU
rnacentral:rRNA from 1 species